rnacentral:lncRNA from 1 species
UGGUAUGUUGUUGAAUGACCAUGAAACUGAUUUCAGUUGUAGUAUUACAUGAAUACUACAAUCUUGAAGCUUUAGCCAACCCAGAAACUUUAGGAUCAAAGAUUUAUUGUUGGUCAAACUGGAUACCUUAGUGACUAACCAUGAUUGUUCUGACAUGCUCAAGAACACCUAUAGCGACAGUUUCGUCACUAUAGGGCUCUUUAGCAACAAAUUAAUUAUAAAAUUAGUAUUUUUAUUAAAUAAU